CCUACGGGAGGCAGCAGUAGGGAAUCUUUCGCAAUGGAGGGAACCCUGAUGCAGCAACGCCGCGUGAGUGAAGAAGGAAUUCGGUUUGUAAAGCUCUGUCAUCAGGGAAGAACAUGACGGUGCCUGAGUAAGAAACCCCGUCUAACUACGUUCCAACAGCCGCGGUAAUACGUAGGUGGCAAGCGUUGUCCGGAUUUACUGGUUGGAAACGGAGCGGAGACUGCAGUGCAAUUCUGGAGUGAAAGGCGGGGGCGUAACCCACGGACUGCUCUGGAAACUGUACGGCUGGAGUGCAGGAGAGGCAAGUGGAAUUCCUAGUGUAGCGGUGAAAUGCGUAGAUAUUAGGAGGAACACCAGUGGCGAAGGCGGCUUACUGGAUUGUAACUGACGUUGAGGCUCGAAAGCGUGGGGAGCAAACAGGAUUAGAUAACCUAGUAGUC
rnacentral:rRNA from 1 species